GCAGUCGUGGUGUAAUGGUUAACAUGGAUGCCUUUGAAGCAUUCGACGGGGGUUCGAUUCCUUCCGAAAGCA
rfam:Oesophagostomum dentatum strain OD-Hann O_dentatum-1.0_Cont2928.8, whole genome shotgun sequence.